AGGGGUAUAGCUCAGUGGUGUAGCACCCGCCUGGCAAGUGGCGAGGUUCUGAGUUCAAUUCCCCGUACCCCCA
rnacentral:tRNA from 1 species